AGACCCGAAACCCGGUGAUCUAGCCAUGGGCAGGUUGAAGGUUGGGUAACACUAACUGGAGGACCGAACCGACUAAUGUUGAAAAAUUAGCGGAUGACCUGUGGCUGGGGGUGAAAGGCCAAUCAAACCGGGAGAUAGCUGGUUCUCCCCGAAAGCUAUUUAGGUAGCGCCUCGUGAAUUCAUCUCCGGGGGUAGAGCACUGUUUCGGCUAGGGGGCCAUCCCGGCUUACCAACCCGAUGCAAACUGCGAAUACCGGAGAAUGUUAUCACGGGAGACACACGGCGGGUGCUAACGUCCGUCGUGAAGAGGGAAACAACCCAGACCGCCAGCUAAGGUCCCAAAGUCAUGGUUAAGUGGGAAACGAUGUGGGAAGGCCCAGACAGCCAGGAUGUUGGCUUAGAAGCAGCCAUCAUUUAAAGAAAGCGUAAUAGCUCACUGGUCGAGUCGGCCUGCGCGGAAGAUGUAACGGGGCUAAACCAUGCACCGAAGCUGCGGCAGCGACACUCAGGUGUUGUUGGGUAGGGGAGCGUUCUGUAAGCCUGUGAAGGUGGCCUGUGAGGGUUGCUGGAGGUAUCAGAAG
rnacentral:rRNA from 2 species